rnacentral:rRNA from 1 species
UAGUCCACGCCGUAAACGAUGUUCACUCGCUGUCUGCGAUACACAGUAGGCGGCUGAGCGAAAGCAUUAAGUGAACCACCUGGGGAGUACGAUCGCAGGGUUGAAACUCAAAGGAAUUGACGGGGGCCCGCACAAGCGGAGGAACAUGUGGUUUAAUUCGAUGAUACGCGAGGAACCUUACCUGGGCUUAAAUGUAGAUUGCAUGAGGUGGAAACACUUCUUUACUUCGGUACUAUUUACAAGGUGCUGCAUGGUUGUCGUCAGCUCGUGCCGUGAGGUGUCGGGUUAAGUCCCAUAACGAGCGCAACCCCUAUCGUUAGUUGCUAGCAGGUAAUGCUGAGGACUCUAGCGAGACUGCCACCGUAAGGUGGGAGGAAGGUGGGGAUGACGUCAAAUCAGCACGGCCCUUAUGUCCAGGGCUACACACGUGUUACAAUGGUCGAUACAGAGGGCAGCUACCUGGUAACAGGAUGCGAAUCUCUAAAGUCGGUCCAAGUUCGGAUCG